GAUCCUGGCUCAGGAUGAACGCUGGCGGCGUGCUUAACACAUGCAAGUCGAACGAAGCACUUUAUUACGAUUUCUUCGGAAUGACGAUUUAGUGACUGAGUGGCGGACGGGUGAGUAACGCGUGGGUAACCUGCCUCACACUGGGGGAUAACAGUUAGAAAUAGCUGCUAAUACCGCAUAAGCGCACGGUUCCGCAUGGAACAGUGUGAAAAACUCCGGUGGUGUGAGAUGGACCCGCGUCUGAUUAGCCAGUUGGCGGGGUAACGGCCCACCAAAGCGACGAUCAGUAGCCGGCCUGAGAGGGUGAACGGCCACAUUGGGACUGAGAUACGGCCCAGACUCCUACGGGAGGCAGCAGUGGGGAAUAUUGGGCAAUGGGCGCAAGCCUGACCCAGCAACGCCGCGUGAGCGAAGAAGUAUUUCGGUAUGUAAAGCUCUAUCAGCAGGGAAGAUAAUGACGGUACCUGACUAAGAAGCACCGGCUAAAUACGUG
rnacentral:rRNA from 1 species